UACGUAGGGUGCAAGCGUUGUCCGGAAUUAUUGGGCGUAAAGAGCUCGUAGGCGGUUUGUCGCGUCUGCUGUGAAAGUCCAGGGCUCAACCCUGGGAUGCCGGUGGAUACUGUCGAGCUCGAGUCCGGAAGAGGCGAGUGGAAUUCCUGGUGUAGCGGUGAAAUGCGCAGAUAUCGGGAGGAACACCAAUGGCGAAGGCAGCUCGCUGGGACGGUACUGACGCUGAGGAGCGAAAGCCAGGGGAGCAAACGGG
rnacentral:rRNA from 1 species